CCCCUAUUGGCUUAGAGAGUAAAGUGUCUGCCUGCAAUGCAGAAGACCCGGGUUCAAUCCCUGAGUUGGGAA
rnacentral:tRNA from 1 species